UAAGGAAUAUUGGACAAUGGAGGCAACUCUGAUCCAGCCAUGCCGCGUGAGGGAAUAAGGCCCUAUGGGUUGUAAACUUCUUUUAGACGGGACAAAACCCCUUUACGUGUAAAGGGUUGAUGGUACUGUCAGAAUAAGCAUCGGCUAACUUCGUGCCAGCAGCCGCGGUAAUACGAAGGAUGCGAGCGUUAUCCGGAAUUAUUGGGUUUAAAGGGUGCGUAGGCGGACUAAUAAGUCAGUGGUGAAAGCCUGCAGCUUAACUGCAGAAUUGCCAUUGAUACUGUUAGUCUUGAGUACAGUUGAGGUAGGCGGAAUGUGUCAUGUAGCGGUGAAAUGCUUAGAUAUGACACAGAACACCGAUUGCGAAGGCAGCUUGCUAGGCUGUAACUGACGCUGAGGCACGAAAGCGUGGGGAGCAAACA
rnacentral:rRNA from 1 species